CGACUGCAGAGAAUCAACCCAUGACAAGUGUGAUACAGAGCCAAGCGCCUCCCAGUUCGCCCCCAAGGAAGAAACGACGCGAAAACAGCACGGACCGGAUCGGGCAACUGUUUGGCAAGCCAGGCCCUGCAAGAGAAAAACCAGUU
rnacentral:ribozyme from 1 species